AUGAAGCUGAAUAUCUCUUUCCUGGCCACCAGCUGCCAGAAACUCAUCGAAGUGGACGAUGAACGCAAGCUUCGUACGUUCUAUGAGAAGCUCAUGGCCACAGAAGUAGCUGCUGAUGUUCUGGGUGAAGAGUGGAAGGGUUAUGUGGUCGGAAUCAGUGGCGGGAAUGACAAACAAGGUUUUCCCAUGAAGCAAGGCAUUUUGACCCAUGGCAGAGUGCGCCUGCUGUUGAAUAAGGGGCAUUCUUGCUAUAGACCAAGGAGAACCGGAGAGAGGAAGCACAAGUCUGUUCGAGGAUGCAUCGUGGAUGCCAAUCUGAGUAUUCUCAACUUAGUUAUUGUACAAAAAAGAGAAAAGCGUAUUCCUGGACUGACAGAUACUACUGUUCCUCGUCGGUUGGGACCUAAAAGAGCUAGCAGAAUUCGAAAGCUUUUUAAUCUCUCUCUAAAGAAGAUGAUGUCCGCCAAUAUGUUGUGAGAAAGCCUUUAAACAAAGAGGGUAAGAAACCCAGGACUAAAGCACCCAAGAUUCAGCAUCUUGUUACUCCACAUGUCCUGCAACACAAACGGCGUCUAUUGCUCUGAAGAAACAACGAACAAAAACAAACAAACAAACAACAACAAAAACAAGGAGGAGGCUGCAGAAUAUGCUAAACUUUUGGCCAAGAGAAUGAAGGAAGCCAAAGAAAAGCAUCAGCAAGAGACGUAGACUGUCUUCGCUGAGAGCUUCUACUUCUAAGUCUGAGUCCAAUCAAAAAUAA